rnacentral:rRNA from 1 species
UACGAAGGGGGCUAGCGUUGCUCGGAAUGACUGGGCGUAAAGGGCGCGUAGGCGGUUUGUACAGUCAGAUGUGAAAUUCCUGGGCUCAACCUGGGGGCUGCAUUUGAUACGUGCGGACUUGAGUGAGGAAGAGGGUCGUGGAAUUCCCAGUGUAGAGGUGAAAUUCGUAGAUAUUGGGAAAGAACACCGGUGGCGAAGGCGGCGACCUGGUCCUUGACUGACGCUGAGGCGCGAAAGCGUGGGGAGCAAACAGG